UGAGGAAUAUUGGUCAAUGGGCGGGAGCCUGAACCAGCCAAGCCGCGUGAGGGAAUAAGGCCCUACGGGUCGUAAACCUCUUUUGUCGGGGAACAAAAGCGGGGACGCGUCCCCGUCUGCGUGUACCCGAAGAAAAAGCAUCGGCUAACUCCGUGCCAGCAGCCGNGGUAAUACAGUACU
rnacentral:rRNA from 1 species